AGUGAACGCUGGCGGUAGGCCUAACACAUGCAAGUCGAACGGCAGCACAGUAAGAGCUUGCUCUUACGGGUGGCGAGUGGCGGACGGGUGCGGAAUACAUCGGAAUCUACUUUUUCGUGGGGGAUAACGUAGGGAAACUUACGCUAAUACCGCAUACGACCUACGGGUGAAAGCAGGGGAUCUUCGGACCUUGCGCGAUUGAAUGAGCCGAUGUUGGAUUAGCUAGUUGGCGGGGUAAAGGGCCACCAAGGCGACGAUCCGUAGCUGGGCUGAGAGGACGAGCAGCAAACCUGGGACUGAGACACGGCUCAGGCUCCUACGGGAGGCAGCAGUGGGGAAUAUUGGCCAAUGGGCGAAAGCCUGAACCAGCACUGCCGCGUGAGUGAUGAAGGCCUUAGGGGUAUAAAGCUCUGUUAACCGGGAUGAUAAUGACAGUACCGGGAGAAUAAGCGCCGGCUAACUCCGUG
rnacentral:rRNA from 1 species